AGAACUGGGGGCGGAAUCGCGCGGGGCCUGAAGGGAGGGGUUUGGGCGCGGGAGCCGGGCAGGAGAAGACGGAAGUGGAGCGAGGACAAAAUGGCUGCGAAGGUUGUUGCUCCCCUCCCCCACCCACGUCCGAAUCCUCCUUUCCAUGCCCCACCUUCGUGUUCCAGACGGGCCUCUAAGUGCCCCGGGUUUCGCGAAUCUGUAUUUCAUAGCGUGGCUUUGGACAAGGGCUGACCCCGAGGGGCUGGGGCGAAGGUUCCGGCUUCAGGGUGCCACUAGGGCUGCUCGCUCACGGCCCCCCAGGAUUGGGAUUGGAGGGAGCCGCCAGGCCGCCGCGGGGUGGGGCGGGUUAGCUCGGCAGGCCUCCCAGCACCUGCAUUUCCCUACGGCAACUGUCGGGAGGCAGCCCCCGACGCAGAGGUUUAAGGGGCCCGGCUUUUCAGAACCGCCUCAGGACGCGGUCGUGUCUGGAUCCCUCCGCGGAAAAGAAGGCGAAACCGCUUCUCUGAGCCCUGACCGUUAGGCCCCUUCCCACCUCCGUCUAGAACAGAUUCGGCUUCUUGGCUCAGUCCUUCCCCAACUAGCCCAAGCCCUACAUUUCCCCGUUGUUUAUAAAAUAAACAGGUUUAAAUGGUG
rnacentral:lncRNA from 1 species